CGCGUCACUCCCAAGCUAGAACUAUGAUCAUUUUAUAAAUACGAGAUGCAAUUCUCCCGCUUCCUCUUCUAUCAUGAUCGACAACGUCUCUCGCUUUCGAUUGAGGAUGAGGCAUCUAGGGUUAGGGUUCAAGAUUCGGAAAAAUGCCGAGAUUUGGAGGUCAAAGUCAGGAGAUCAGAGCUAAAAUGUUGCUUUAUUAUGCUUCAAAGAUUUUGGGGCGAACGAUCAGGGUCAUGUUUACGUAUAUAAAGCAUAUAAAAUUAGGGUUUUUUUUAUUUUAUUUCUCCUUUCAAUAUGUUUUUCAAUAGAUUAUCUAAAUUCCGAUAUUCUACCAGGAGAAGAUCAGAGAUAAAAUUUGCUUUGAUUAUGCUUUCAGAUUUGGGAGGCAACGGCGAUCACGCUUCCAGCCUAUUCAAAUUCGGAUGUUUGAGAUCGGACUUCGGAGCUAGGCUUAAUUUGGUACUUCCAGAUUGAUCCUUUUCUGGGUCUGGCUCUGUCCUCCUCUUUCAAUUUGGUCAGAUAUAGUCAAUCUAGCUUAAAUAAAUAAACCUAGGUUGCAUUUUCAUAAUAUAGUGCCUUUCAGUUGGAUAUCAUGCUAUGUUAAACAUGAAUUCUGUCAUAUUAUAUUGACUAGGUGGAUGUUACAUCUACAGUUAGUGCACUUGUACCAUCCCAACCCGAGGAGAAACCUGUUAGUUACCCUGCUCCUGCAGUUGGCACAACCACAUAAUUUGAAGGAACGACUUUCGUCCAAUCUCCUCAACAGGAGACGAAGGCCGAUAGAUUUGACAAGUUCAGAAGGCAUCCACAGAGAGGGUGAGCCGAGACCUGGCUUGCUUGAACUCAGGGCAGUGUCUCCUUGCGAAACCAUAACCAAGAUGGCGGUCAUGGAUCGGUAGGUUUUCAUAGGGGGCCUCCAACUCUCUGUUGACUCAGACCAUCUUAAGGAGUUCUACACUAAGUUUGGACCUGUGGAAGAAGCCAUAGUGAUCAUCAUUAAAACAGGUAACCAAUCACAGUCUAGUUUUUUGGCUUCAUCAUCUUCAUGCAGAAGGAGCCUGCUGCAAGUGCUGAAAAGUCUGUUAUAUUAACAAUCUUUGGCAAGAAGGCUGAAAUCAAAAGUGCGGUAAUGAAAUCUUUGUGAGAAUGUUGUCAAAAGGGUCCUGAUGGACAACCUCUUCCAAUAGUGAGAGCAAACCCAGGGAGAAGGUUGAUAUUGGUUAUGUAUGCUCUUAAGAGUCAAAUUAACAAUCUUUGUCUGUGUUCUAAUAUAUACUGGCUUAACUGAUGCGGAGCAUCAAAUACCCUGAAAAGAGCAAGGAGGUACAGAAGGGCCUGAGACAUUCACCUGUAGAGAGCAGGAGAGGAUACUAUCAUGCGGGUUGAUUCAUCCAACCUGGUUCCUUGGCUAUAAUUCCCUGACAUCACAGAGUGUGCCUCUGAUGCUUUAAGAACAGUAUCAAGGAUAUGCAUUAUUUGCAGGGUUUCCUGUUUGUGGAGGAUCCUUAUACACUGGAUAAGCUUCCGGACACUUGCUGCCCACCUCUGUUAAAUAGCUUCUUGUUUUAGGUUGAUAGGUGUAACUUUGUUCCUGUUAAGUUUGUAGAUUGGAGUACACUGGAACGGUAGAAACACAUUUCCCCACUUUUUUUUAACCUUUAAAAUGAUUCCAAGUUUGGAGGAAUAGUUUACUCAUUCUAUAUCACUAGGUCUAACUGAUGUCUUUAUUUGAAUAAUGGUUCUAGGAAUGAGCCAAACCCAAGUGUAACACCCAGCUGGAAACUGGCAUAUGUCAGCUCAAGCAUGCUUGCCAAGGGGACAAAUGUUUUCUGAAUCACAGUUUAGGGAAUGAGGCCAUCUUUCCGCAACAGGAAGAUAUGUUACCCACGACAAGGAGCCCAAAGGAGUUAUUUAAGAGGAGAAAACUUUUCAGCGCUACUCAAUAUCAACUAAUGAAGCAAAUUAACAGUGCAGGUGCUUCAAUGAAUUCAUUUGAAAGGAACAACAAAAUGACUACGUUCUUAUCUAGGCUAUUUAUCUUUUCCGUUUUUCUUGACUUUAAUGCAUGAGCAUGGUCAGUGGCGUAGCCAGGAUUAUUUUUUGCCCUGGGCCAAAAAUAAAGGGAUUGUGUCGAGCAAGACGAAGUAGAGGAGGCCGAUGUUGGCGAUUGUGUUGAGCACCGUUAGGCUGCGUUUGGGGAACACAUUGUCGAGAAUCUGGCUUAAUGGGGUAUCACCAUCUUCCGCUAAUGGUCACUUAAACAUCAUGUGGAUCAGGAGAUUUCCCUGGUAUAUAACAGUUUCGUUUUGCAGACUAUGUUUCCAGACAUAAUUCUGUUUUCUCUUUGAUCUUUACAUGAGUAGCUUGAAGCAGGAGUCUUUUUUGUGUAGUGAAACUCAGGGUCACGUCUUUAAAGGCCCAGAACUUUUCAUUGAGAUUCCUGAAACUUCAACUGCAAGUUCUCCUGUAACUGCAGUACUUGGAGGUGCACUACGUAUAGGUGUCUUCCUUCAAGGCCAGAAGGUUAGAUCUGACAAUAAAACAAUAGUUCAGCUGAACUUUCUCAUCACAAUAGGUGGAACAAUCUGGGGUUUACUUUGAAGCCCAAUUCCACGCAAGCUCCACUUCUUCCUAGUGAAUGCUUCUCGGGCACUAACUAGGUAAUCCUCAUUUUUUUCCCUUAUGCAAAGGGGGUAAUACUGCUCAUGCCCAUCUGCAGCAGUUGUGAAGGAAGGAUGCAGGAAUGAGAACUCAGAAUCCUGGAUACCCUCAGUGUACAAAGGCGCCCUUGAUGCUUCUCGUCCACUACGCUUGACCCAGACCCAGAACUUUUUGAGACUGCCCAAUUCCAGACAUAUACACUUUUGUAAUGAGCUUAAAUGCCACCUCAUCUGAUGAAGUAUAAAAGCAAUUGCAUUAGUAUGUUGCAAUUUCUGGACUUUGCUUUCUCACUAUCAUUAACAGUUUUGACGCUCAUCCUACGCUCAACUUGAUUGCAUAUUUGUUCCUCAAGUAAGCUUCUUCAACAUGAUUCCUAUAUUCUCACACGUAAAUUUCUCUCUAUAUAAUUUAAUAACAGCUUUAAUAGUAGGGCUGGCUCAGUUAGUUAAUGGUAUUUUGUUUGGGGAUUUUCUAACGGGUACCGAUGGGCACUCACUAGGAGAUGAGAGAGAGAGAAAAAAAAUGAAUAGUAAGUGGGCCCCCUGAUUUGCACUAAUUUCUCUCCUCACCUUUCCUCUCUCAAUCUCUCAUCUCUUAUGCUAUUGCUAUGUUUAGGAGUUCACUAAAGAGAAGAGAAGGAAAGGUAAGAUAGCGAAAGGAAAGGUAAAGAAGAGGAGGGAAAAUAUAAUAUCUUGUUUGGGAGUUUUGUAAGAGGAAUGGAGGUGAAAUUAAAUUAUGUUGUUUGGAGUUCUAAUUAUGAGAAGAGAAGGGAAGUAAAUGAAUUUUAGCCAUUGAUUCAUUAUGAUAGACGGUCAAGAUGUCUCUUUUAUUAGUAAAUUUUUCUUUCCUUCCCUUACCUUCCUCUACCCCCAGUUUGGAGAGGAACAAAUUUGAUCCUUUUUUCCCUCCCAUUCCUUCCCUCACCCCUUUAAAUUUUUUUUUUAAAAUAGAAUAACUCUCUUUUCCCCUUCCACUACCCCCAUUACCCUCCAUCCAAACAUAUGUUAAUGAGUGGCCUA